UGUGAAGUUACUCUAACUGACUCUGUGAAAGAAGACUUCAACCGUCCAGCCGCCGCCAGAUUUGUUUAAGGAGAAAAGAUAUGAAACGGUUACGUUUAGAUCCAGCACUGUAAUGACAGCUUUCCACAGCGUCCGAAAGCAAGUGCAGUCCAUCCCACCUCCAGCGAUUUAGGACUCCAGGAACAUCUGGACAUCAGAUCCAGUACACUGUUUAAGCAAAAGACAUCAAGAAAAGAACCAAGAUGGCACCUGCUAAAGUGUACAUUGCCCUUAUAGCAGCAGGAAUUAUUGGUGCCAUUUUGCCAUUGGCUGCAACUACAGGUGACCAAGAAGAUACAACGGCAGAUGGAAAAGCAAUUACUGCAUCUGGAACACCUGCUUGUACAAUCAUGACGAUUUCAGAUGGUUCCACACCAGCUGUGGCAUCUGGAGAACCAAAUGCAGCUGUUUCACCAGUGGGUGCUA